rnacentral:rRNA from 1 species
AAAUUGAAGAGUUUGAUCAUGGCUCAGAUUGAACGCUGGCGGCAGGCCUAACACAUGCAAGUCGAACGGUAACAGGAAGCAGCUUGCUGCUUUGCUGACGAGUGGCGGACGGGUGAGUAAUGUCUGGGAAACUGCCUGAUGGAGGGGGAUAACUACUGGAAACGGUGGCUAAUACCGCAUAACGUCGCAAGACCAAAGAGGGGGACCUUCGGGCCUCUUACCAUCAGAUGUGCCCAGAUGGGAU